GUGGGUCACACGGGCUGGGCGAGCAAAGCCAGAGGCUUUUCCAGAUCCCCUCCGGCUGGGUCCCCGUGGAGGCCGGGCGCGGUGGCUCAUGCUUGUAAUCCCAGGGAGGCCGAGGCGGCAGAUCACUUGAGGUUGGGAGUUUGAGAAGAGCCUGACCAACAUAGAGAAAACCCUCUACUAAAAAAAGAAUACAAAAUUCGCCAUGGUGUGUGCCUGUAAUCCAAGCUACUUGGGAGGCUGAGGCAGGAGGUUGCAGUGAGCUGAGAUCUCACCACUGCACUCCAGCCUGGGCAACAACAGCAAAACUCUUUCUCAAAAAUAAAAAAUAAAAAGAACUUUUUGUUUUAA